rnacentral:rRNA from 1 species
UGCAGUCGAGCGGAACGAUUCUAGCUUGCUAGAAGGCGUCGAGCGGCGGACGGGUGAGUAAUGCAUGGGAAUCUGCCCGAUAGUGGGGGACAACCUGGGGAAACUCAGGCUAAUACCGCAUACGUCCUACGGGAGAAAGCAGGGGAUCUUCGGACCUUGCGCUAUCGGAUGAGCCCAUGUCGGAUUAGCUUGUUGGUGAGGUAAUGGCUCACCAAGGCGACGAUCCGUAGCUGGUCUGAGAGGAUGAUCAGCCAC